UUCCUACAAAUAAUGGGACUUUCAGUACUUCUUGUAAGUGUACAGUUAUCUUCUGUAUUUAUUUCUGGUGGAGCAGCAGAACAGAGGUGGAUAUAAACUGACCUUCAGGAAGAUACCAUAGACAAAACCUGAUCUAUCAUGCCUGAAUGAUGAAAUACGAGAAUCUCAGACAUCUCUCCAUCUCUCCUCAACUUAAUAUUGUGCAGACCCUUCUGGAUGGGCUUGCAGCAUGUCCCUGGGAGACAGCAGGGACUUACUCUGACUGUUGCAUCUGAGUACAGUACUUGGGACAGUGUGGUUUUGGUUUUCCUGGAGAAGAGCCUCACUUCUGUACUAAUUACAUUCAGAUGCUUUUGUCAGUUCAGAAGCAGCUUUCUGCCAGUGUCUGGAAACCCUUACAGCUCAUUGUGAAAGGUGAUCAGAAGAGAAGAGAAUAUGCCUUUAGUGCAUUUACAUCAACACUUUAUGCCUCUUGAAGGACCAUCCCAAAGUGAUUUUAUCCCAGCCUCUAUGCCUAGCUCUGGACUGAUCCUUUCCAGCCACAAACAGGACUUAUGGAAGGAAAAUGAUAUUAGCAGUUAUGCUCUUCUUCAGUGGGUAUCUAUGGAAGCGAAUGUAGUUCUCUCUCCUGACGCUUAACCAAGACACUCAGCUUAACAUCGCUCCUUUCGUGAAGAGUGAAUUCUUCAGAUACCGCAGGGAACUUCAUCAACACGAGACGCAAACAUCUCUUGCAGCGCAGUGCCCCCUAGCACCGUCUCUACACAUUCGUGCACGACUGAGAGAAGAAUGCCACUUUACUCAGCCAACACCUGCAGACAUGGCUUUCCCUGGGAAAUUUCACACCAACUAUUGACCCAGCCCAGUCAUGCUUAGCUUGUGGGAUCCGACAAGAUCACAGCAUGAAGUGGUGUGGCUGCCCAGUAAAGCAGAGAGUUCCUUAAUUGUGUUCAACAGUGUGUUCUUGGUGGUGGACUGAAAUAACAUAGAUUUCUUUAUUUGGUGACAUAAAUCAAAUGUGAACUCUAAUUUUCUCAUAUGAAGAUCAAGGUCUUUAUUUUCUCCUUCUUUACUUGCUAUGUUUUUAAUGGCCACAUAAGGCUUAAAGUUUUGUCUAGCCAAAGGAGCCGAAUGCUAGUUAAUUUUGUUUUUCCCUCUGCAGUUACUCCCACACAGACAGGGCAUAGGGUAGGGACUCAGAAUGAGUUUUCCUUUCAGCUCCUUAAUUGACUUUGUGUUACUUUGACCACAUAUCAAAAUUUUCUCAUAUAAAUAAACAAACAGAACUCUUUCCUGGCUAUUCCAGAGUGUAUUUUAGUGACAGGGCUCAAAGCGGAGAGGCUAAUAUUGAACAUCUAAUAGAUACAAUCAGAGAAUAAUACAUAAUAGCUCUAUUUAUGAGGAAAUUAAUGUAUAAGCAGGUAAAAUGAUUUAACACAGGCCUCCUAGCAGGCCAUGGGGCACACUGAGCUUUCCCGAGUACUAUUUACCGGUGAUUCACAAAAAUAAAGCACUCUCAUUUCUGUGUAUGCUAAGUGGCAAAUAAAUACAGUUAUUGCACAAUAAUCCAGUCCUACUGGACUGUUAUUAUUGCAUAGUAUCCUGCAUCCCUACUACUAAAGGAAAGGUCAGCUCUUUGAAAUGGAAUAUCUAGUGUCAAAAAAGCAGACAAAUGAGCUAAGUCUUUCCUGUUCAGGCACAGGUACACAUCUCUCAAAUUGCAGCAGAGAAGACAGUGGUUCACCAUAACACACAGACAACCUGAGCAUCACGCCUUCCAAACAGCUGUGCCUUGCCACUAGGUCAGACUGCAGCACUCCUUUUCAGCAUGGGAAGUAACUGCAGAUUACUUCACUGGGUUACAUCUGAAAAGUUAACUAGUUCCUGUAAUCAGCACAAACUUGGUUUUACUUUAACAAGCUUGGUCAGUCCCAAUGUAAACAAGCUGCCAUGCCUGAAGGAAGGAACCUCAGUAACUUCUAGCUCUCUUCCUUCUCCCUUUGCAGAAAGCAGGGUGAGAGAAAGAUUUGUUUUUCAGUCUCCUCUGGACGUGUCUAUGUCUGUGCAUUACAGGCACUCAGCAUUUACGCAACACCCAGCAUCUUCAAAGCUUGUUAUAAAGUAUUCAGCUUGUUAGUCCUCGGAACACACCGGAGAGGUGUUAUUACAGACAUGAAGAAACCUUCUCAGAGGAUCUAUUUGGACAGGUGGUGCUGGAGUUGUGAUUAUAAUCUAAUUGUAUGGGGGCCAAAGUCUCACUUAUUUACACCAGUGUCAGAUUAUGGAAUAAUUCUGCUUCUCUCAGGUACUGAUCUGAGAUGCUGAUAGAUCAGGUGCAUCAUAAUGUUGGUGAUAUCAAACUUUUUAACAACUAUAAAGAAAAAAUGAAAGUGCCAGACACACCUCAUUUUUCUUCCAUGUUUCUCUACUGAGGUCAGUAGAAUUGUUCCUUGUUUACACUCAGUGAGAUUGAAGUGACAGCCCAAGCUGACAGAUUCAACUUCAGUCCUAGUACAUGGAGCUGACAGCCCAAAUACCUAAGGAGCUUUUUGCAUGGGGUUUCUCAUAUUGCAGUUUGAAUCCAAAUGAUUCUGACACUAGCAUGCCUACAACUAAUGUCCUGUUUAAUGUCCUGAUUCAUGUGUACCUGUAUAACCUGUUAUCACCUCAACACCGUCUGAUUUUUUUCACUGCAUUCACUAACACCCAUUCCUGUGAAGCUCCAUCACCAUUACCCCAAUUACACA